UAUGUAGGUGGCAAGCGUUGUCCGGAAUUAUUGGGCGUAAAGCGCGCGCAGGCGGUCCUUUAAGUCUGAUGUGAAAGCCCACGGCUCAACCGUGGAGGGUCAUUGGAAACUGGGGGACUUGAGUACGGAAGAGGAAAGCGGAAUUCCACGUGUAGCGGUGAAAUGCGUAGAGAUGUGGAGGAACACCAGUGGCGAAGGCGGCUUUCUGGUCUGUAACUGACGCUGAGGCACGAAAGCGUGGGGAGCAAACAGG
rnacentral:rRNA from 1 species